rnacentral:rRNA from 1 species
AGAGUUUGAUCAUGGCUCAGGAUGAACGCUGGCGGCGUGCUUAACACAUGCAAGUCGAACGGAGUUAAGAUGAAACCUGGUGAUUCUUAACUUAGUGGCGGACGGGUGAGUAACGCGUGGGUAACCUGCCGUAUACAGGGGGAUAACACUUAGAAAUAGGUGCUAAAACCGCAUAAGCGCACAGCUUCGCAUGAAGCAGUGUGAAAAACUCCGGUGGUAUACGAUGGACCCGCGUCUGAUUAGCCAGUUGGCAGGGUAACGGCCUACCAAAGCGACGAUCAGUAGCCGGCCUGAGAGGGUGAACGGCCACAUUGGGACUGAGACACGGCCCAAACUCCUACGGGAGGCAGCAGUGGGGAAUAUUGCACAAUGGGGGAAACCCUGAUGCAGCGACGCCGCGUGAGUGAAGAAGUAUUUCGGUAUGUAAAGCUCUAUCAGCAGGGAAGAAAAUGACGGUACCUGAGAAAGAAGCCCCGGCUAACUACGUGCCAGCAGCCGCGGUAAUACGUAGGGGGCAAGCGUUAUCCGGAUUUACUGGGUGUAAAGGGAGCGUAGACGGUUGUGCAAGUCUGGAGUGAAAUGCGGGGGCUCAACCCCUGAACUGCUUUGGAAACUGUGUAACUGGAGUGCAGGAGAGGUAAGUGGAAUUCCUAGUGUAGCGGUGAAAUGCGUAGAUAUUAGGAGGAACACCAGUGGCGAAGGCGGCUUACUGGACUGUAACUGACGUUGAGGCUCGAAAGCGUGGGGAGCAAACAGGAUUAGAUACCCUGGUAGUCCACGCCGUAAACGAUGAUUACUAG